rnacentral:rRNA from 1 species
CCUACGGGCGGCAGCAGUGAGGAAUAUUGGUCAAUGGCCGCAGGGCUGAACCAGCCAAGUCGCGUGAGGGAUGACGGUCCUAUGGAUUGUAAACCUCUUUUGUCAGGGAGCAAAGGGCGCCACGUGUGGCGCUUUGCGAGUACCUCAAGAAAAAGCAUCGGCAAAUUCCGUGCCAGCAGCCGCGGUAAUACGGAGGAUGCGAGCGUUAUCCGGAUUUAUUGGGUUUAAAGGGUGCGCAGGCGGAAUGUCAAGUCAGCGGUAAAAUUUCGGGGCUAAACCCCGUCGUGCCGUUGAAACUGGCGUUCUUGAGUGAGCGAGAAGUAUGCGGAAUGCGUGGUGUAGCGGUGAAAUGCAUAGAUAUCACGCAGAACUCCGAUUGCGAAGGCAGCAUACCGGCGCUCAACUGACGCUCAUGCACGAAAGCGUGGGUAUCGAACAGGAUUAGAUACCCCUGUAGUC